rnacentral:rRNA from 1 species
UGUAUAAUGGGUCAGCGACUUAUAUUCUGUAGCAAGGUUAACCGAAUAGGGGAGCCGAAGGGAAACCGAGUCUUAACUGGGCGUUAAGUUGCAGGGUAUAGACCCGAAACCCGGUGAUCUAGCCAUGGGCAGGUUGAAGGUUGGGUAACACUAACUGGAGGACCGAACCGACUAAUGUUGAAAAAUUAGCGGAUGACUUGUGGCUGGGGGUGAAAGGCCAAUCAAACCGGGAGAUAGCUGGUUCUCCCCGAAAGCUAUUUAGGUAGCGCCUCGUGAAUUCAUCUCCGGGGGUAGAGCACUGUUUCGGCAAGGGGGUCAUCCCGACU